rnacentral:lncRNA from 1 species
UUUGAGUUGCGACUGAACAUAUCCUUUAUUUAAACUGUAAAAUCGAAUAUUCGGUUGUAUUCUUUCCCACGUUUUUUCCCUCUCGUUUGUGUUGACGGUCACCUAGCUAGCUCAUACGAAGCCGGCGGAUAGCGAAGCGGUCCAAUACGGAGCCGUCAGCGUCCAGGACGUCUCGCACGAAGCGUCUGUCGUCGUAGUUGCUCGAAUUGAUCCACGAGCUGGCUAGCUCCUGUGUCGUCGUACCUAGCUCCUCCGUAGCUGCUCGAGUUUUUGAUGAGAUUCCGACUAGUUCUAUGGUCGAAGGUCACGAGAGCCAGUGUGCGCACGAUGAACAGGACACCCUCAGUUUUGUCUCCGGAUCGAUAAAAAAAAGAAUCAUGCGGGUGAUAAUUAAAGGAAGCUCAACAACGGCGGAGCUAAGCUCCUUUCUUAGGGUGGCUGUGGCCCUCCAGCUUCGAACCAACUUGCGAAGAAAUUUUUAUUAGGACUUAGAUGAGAAUUUUUUUAGCAUUUGCCCACCCUAAACACUUGUAAUUUUUUUUCCGCCCCCUCACAUCCCGUCAAGCUUCGCCACUGAAGCUCAACGUUGUAUCCUGCUCUUAUGCAUCUCCUCAUUUUCCGUUCACCGGCAACGUAGUCAUAUCAACCAGUGGUCACCAGCAAAGCUAUCACCCUGCUCCGUAGUGCGACUACGCCUGUGCACCCUAUCCUGCCUGCGGCCUGAUCGUCUGGACCUGGAGACUAGAGGCCAUGAGGCUUGCUCGCCGCCGACUGUUGUCAGCUUGGCUACUGCCGCCUCUCUGGCUGCUAGCCGCUAGGGCUCAUGUGUCGCUUGCUGAGCCGGCUCGUUAUAAAUGUAAUUGCUCCGUGUUUCGGACCAGCUUGUGUGCGGCUACAAAUGCAAUUCACUCAGACACAAUCAGUUGCAUUGAUGUGUUAGCCAUUAGCCGGCCUAUUGGUUCCCUAUACCUCCUGUUCUUAGAUAUUGGACUAACACGUAUGUGGCUCUUGGUGAAACUCCCUUUGGAUCGAGCUUCCUUUAUCCUCCGGAUGCACUUCUAGCACUAUAAUUCGCCAGAUGUGGCCAUCCUGGCUUGCUCUGUAGCAUGAAGAUACCAUAUUAUUUAUCAUUGAGGCCACUCGCUCGUUACACAUCCAGAUAUAUAGCACUGCCAUCGAGAUCGUGACCGUAGCACGGUGUACUAGACCAUAAUUCAUGCUACAUGUAAUUCACCAAUCAUUUCUGGGUUGUCCGAGUAAUUUUGUCUGUAACCGAGGUCCUGUAGUUAUAAAAUCUCCUGUGUAUUUUGAACGUAACAACAGAUCUUAGGCCCUUUCCAGUGCACCGGGGUUAAGGGUGUCACAUAGGCAAAAAAGUGACGUGGCAGAACAAUUAAAGAGGAGAAAGAGCAUUAUGAUGACCAGGAAAGAAAUGAUGCUAAACGCGUGAAGCUACUCCCUUCGUCAUAGUUUAGAAGGCAUGCACGUGUAUUUAGAUUGUAAAUUUGACUUAUAUAAAAUAUAUUGUUUAACAUAAAAAUUAUAUCAUUAGAAAAUAGGUAUAUCCCUCUUUUUAAUGAUAUAUUUUUUGUUAUAUAUGCAUCUCAUUAAGUUGGUUAAAUUGACGAGCUAGGUAUAUGUGCCGGACUUGUAAACUGAGACGGGGGAGUAUGUAAAAUGACUAGC